ACAGAGGGUGCAAGCGUUAAUCGGAUUUACUGGGCGUAAAGCGCGCGUAGGCGGCUAAUUAAGUCAAAUGUGAAAUCCCCGAGCUUAACUUGGGAAUUGCAUUCGAUACUGGUUAGCUAGAGUGUGGGAGAGGAUGGUAGAAUUCCAGGUGUAGCGGUGAAAUGCGUAGAGAUCUGGAGGAAUACCGAUGGCGAAGGCAGCCAUCUGGCCUAACACUGACGCUGAGGUGCGAAAGCAUGGGGAGCAAACAGGA
rnacentral:rRNA from 1 species